GACGAACGCUGGCGGCGUGCUUAACACAUGCAAGUCGAACGCUGAAGCUUGGUGCUUGCACUGGGUGGAUGAGUGGCGAACGGGUGAGUAAUACGUGAGUAACCUGCCCUUGACUCUGGGAUAAGCCUGGGAAACUGGGUCUAAUACUGGAUACGACAUGUCACCGCAUGGUGGUGUGUGGAAAGGGUUUUACUGGUUUUGGAUGGGCUCACGGCCUAUCAGCUUGUUGGUGGGGUAAUGGCUCACCAAGGCGACGACGGGUAGCCGGCCUGAGAGGGUGACCGGCCACACUGGGACUGAGACACGGCCCAGACUCCUACGGGAGGCAGCAGUGGGGAAUAUUGCACAAUGGGCGAAAGCCUGAUGCAGCGACGCCGCGUGAGGGAUGACGGCCUUCGGGUUGUAAACCUCUUUCAGCACGGAAGAAGCGAAAGUGACGGUACGUGAAGAAGAAGCGCCGGCUAACUACGUG
rnacentral:rRNA from 1 species